rnacentral:rRNA from 1 species
UACGGAGGGUGCAAGCGUUGUCCGGAAUCACUGGGCGUAAAGGGCGCGUAGGCGGCUCAUGAAGGCUGUGGUGAAAGUCCGGGGCUCAACCUCGGAUCGGCCGUGGCGACUCGUGGGCUGGAGCACUGUAGAGGCGGGUGGAAUUCCGGGUGUAGCGGUGGAAUGCGUAGAGAUCCGGAAGAACACCGGUGGCGAAGGCGGUCUGCUGGGCAGUAGCUGACACUGAGGCGCGACAGCGUGGGGAGCAAACAGGG